rnacentral:rRNA from 1 species
UACGGAGGGAGCUAGCGUUGUUCGGAAUUACUGGGCGUAAAGCGCACGUAGGCGGCUUUGUAAGUUAGAGGUGAAAGCCCGGGGCUCAACCCCGGAAAUUGCCUUUAAGGCUGCAUCGCUUGAAUCCGGGAGAGGUGAGUGGAAUUCCGAGUGUAGAGGUGAAAUUCGUAGAUAUUCGGAAGAACACCAGUGGCGAAGGCGGCUCACUGGACCGGUACUGACGCUGAUGCGCGAAAGCGUGGGGAGCAAACGGG